CAGUAGCCGCGGGAAUACGUAGGUGGCAAGCGUUGUCCGGAAUUAUUGGGCGUAAAGGGCUCGCAGGCGGUUUCUUAAGUCUGAUGUGAAAGCCCCCGGCUCAACCGGGGUGGGUCAUUGGAAACUGGGAAACUUGAGUGCAGAAGAGGAGAGUGGAAUUCCACGUGUAGCGGUGAAAUGCGUAGAGAUGUGGAGGAACACCAGUGGCGAAGGCGACUCUCUGGUCUGUAACUGACGCUGAGGAGCGAAAGCGUGGGGAGCGAACAGGAUUAGAUACCCCUGUAGUCCCUGUCUCUUAUAA
rnacentral:rRNA from 1 species